AAAAAGAUAAGCUAAAUAAAGCUGUCAGGUUCAUACCCUGAAAAUAGAAGUUUAAUCUUCUUCUUUUUA
rnacentral:tRNA from 1 species